GAGCGGCGAACGGGUGAGUAACACGUGGGUGAUCUGCCCUGCACUUCGGGAUAAGCCUGGGAAACUGGGUCUAAUACCGGAUAUGACCAAAGGCUGCAUGGCUUUUGGUGGAAAGGUUUACUGGUGCAGGAUGGGCCCGCGGCCUAUCAGCUUGUUGGUGGGGUAAUGGCCUACCAAGGCGACGACGGGUAGCCGACCUGAGAGGGUGACCGGCCACACUGGGACUGAGACACGGCCCAGACUCCUACGGGAGGCAGCAGUGGGGAAUAUUGCACAAUGGGCGAAAGCCUGAUGCAGCGACGCCGCGUGAGGGAUGAAGGCCUUCGGGUUGUAAACCUCUUUCAGCAGGGACGAAGCGAAAGUGACGGUACCUGCAGAAGAAGCACCGGCUAACUACGUGCCAGCAGCCGCGGUAAUACGUAGGGUGCGAGCGUUGUCCGGAAUUACUGGGCGUAAAGAGUUCGUAGGCGGUUUGUCACGUCGUCUGUGAAAACCCACCGCUCAACGGUGGGCCUGCAGGCGAUACGGGCAGACUUGAGUACUGCAGGGGAGACUGGAAUUCCUGGUGUAGCGGUGAAAUGCGCAGAUAUCAGGAGGAACACCGGUGGCGAAGGCGGGUCUCUGGGCAGUAACUGACGCUGAGGAACGAAAGCGUGGGUAGCAAACAGGAUUAGAU
rnacentral:rRNA from 1 species